rnacentral:lncRNA from 7 species
AAUUAUCUAAACAAAGAAAUCAUGGCGGAGUGUUUACAUUUGGCUGCCCAAAGCCUGUCGGAUUACGGACCCCCCCCAAACACACCCGGCCCCCCCGGCCCCCCGCAGUAGCGGCGUGCCGCAGCCCGCCCGCCGACACCUCGCCGCGGCCCGGCCUAGGCUCAGAUUUGGGAGGUUUUGGAAGGCUUCCAGCAGAAAAUUAGAACUUCUGGAUCUGGAUUCAGUCCCUGUCACAUCAGCGUCAAGAUCCUACUUGCUUCAUAGGAACUGGAUCACAUUUGUGACCUGUUUGUAGCUGUCAGCACCGUCUGUCAGACAGAAGCAGCCUUUUCAGCAGCAGAAGAAAGAUGAAGUCUUCCAAGACUGGCUCUAAAGAAAUCAGAAGCAAUGGAGCCCAAACAAAUGGUGACCUUAGCAAUAUUUGUAUUUCCAGUAAUAAUAUGGAAUGUUCUGAAAGAAACAAGGUAGAUGUUGUAUAGAUAGUAUCGGUCACUGCAUAGUCAGAUUUACAUAUUUCCUUCCUUUUAAGGUAGUAUUUGGCUGCAAUUUGAUUCUUUCCUCCUGUGUGCUUAUUCCAGACUCCUAGGACUACUGCAUUAUAUGCAGCAACAUCAUCAAAAGCUUAUUUUCUUUUAAUACUGUUGCUCAGAACAGAAUUCCCUUGUGGUGAGCAGCUGGGUUAGGCUAACUUCUGACAUGUGGUAUCUCAUUUUUGAGGUUCCUUAUAGGAAUAGGCUUUCAGUAGGCUUGCACAGAGGUCCUGCCACUCAGCAGGCAGCCUGUUUCUGAGGGUGGCUAUCUCAAGGCACUGAGUGCUUAAGUAAGGGACAGACUAGGUGUGCAUUCACUUUCUAAGAUGCAUGUGAUUAUUUGCAGUUAGUAAUAUCAUAUCAUCGUCAUUGAACAUAACACAAACUGCUUUGUGUAAAUUUCGUUUUCUGGGGAAACAAAAUAUUUGAAACACAGCAGCUUCACUAUCUUAAAUAAAUAAAUAAACAAGUCACGUCUGUC